AGAGACGUAUUUUAAAGAAUUGGCUCGUGGGAUUGUGGGGCCUGGAAAUCUGAAAUCUGCAGAGAAAGCCAGCAGGCUGGAAAUUCAGGAAGUGGCGAGGAAAGAAGAAUGAAGACAAAGAAUAUGGAGUUUCCAUUGAUUUAGCCAAGUCCAUAACAGAAGAAAAGUGCCUUCCUUCGGAACUUCCAAUACAAUGUGUGAGAAUGGACCUGUUACAACUUGUAUUACUCGCAGGGUUCCCCCACUACCAAGAAUAGGGGUGGCCUUAGAAGGCACUCUGAAGCAAGAAUCAGCAAGUGACUGAAUCUAUGAGACUCGUAUUGAUCAGCCUCAAAAGAAAUGAGUCCUACCUUCUCGGUCUCUUAAGAAAUUCAUUCUCUUGAAAAGCAAUUCAAAAAGAGCUUUCCCUAAUACACAUUAGAUAAACAAUGAGAUAUCCUCCUAGCUUUCUCUUGGGAAACUUUCACUUUAUAUCUUUUCAAUUUAUUCUCAUCUUUUUUUUUGUUCCUUCCUUCCCUACUUUUAGGCUUUGUCGUUCAAAAGCUAGCUCGUAGAAUUUUUUUAAAUCUUUGUAUUCAUAUAUCCCUAACUAGAGCAUGAUCUUUUUCUGGCUGGUGGAUCCUCCCCAGAAUGUUUGCAUGUAUUAGGGCUCCAGUGAAUAGGUGUUGGUCAUGAGGAAGGAUGACCAGCUAAGGGAGCUAAUGGCUUAGACAGACACUGUAGAAUUGCAAGGAAUAGAGAUGUGCUCAAGAUACCUUGGUUGGCGAGGUUUAUUGUUGCAGAAACACACUGGGUGGUAGCCAGUCAACCAAGACGGCGGCCAUCAAUUCCUUACCUUUCUUUGUGUACAUGCUGCACCCCAUGACCAAAGGUAGGGCCUUUUUUCUCCUCCCUUGUAUUUCGACUGGCCUCAUACCUUGCUUUCAACAGUGAAAUGUAACAGUGGUGAAGUUGGACUUGUUCCAAGCCUAGACUUUAAGCCUUCUGUUUCCUACUUCUUAGAAGCCAGUCACCAUGCAAGAAGCCUGCCUACCCAGUAACCAGCUGUGAGAAGUCCAAGCUGGCUACACAAAGGGGGGGACACUGAGGUGCCAGACAGGUGGGUAAGGCCUGCCUGAACCUUCCAGCUCUGCCCAACACUCAGCUGAAUGCAGUGAAUCAGCCAGCCCAGCUGAGAACACAGUGAGCAGAGGUUCUGAUCCUGCCUGGAUUCCAGACCCACAGAAUCCAGAGAAAUCAUGUGACUUUAAGCCACUAACUUUUGCAAUAGAUUAAUGUACAACAAUAGAUAAAACACACAGAAAAGUCAAGAAAAUGUUUUUGAAGAAAAGUGAUCUCCGUAGGUUAACUGCAGUUGGUUAAUACUAAUUUAUUGUAUAUUUCAAAAUAGCUAGAAGAUAAUAAUUAGAAUGUUCCUAGCAUAAAGAAAAGACAAUUUAAGGUGAUGGAUAUGCCAAUUACACUGAUUUGAUCUUUACACAUUAUAUGAAUGUAUUCAAUUAUCACAUGUACCCUGAAAAUAUGUACAUCUAUUAUGUGUAAUAAAAAUAAAUCAAAACUUUUUAAAGAAUAAAAAGCGGUCGCACAUCUAAACAGGG